rnacentral:misc_RNA from 1 species
UACUCAGCUUGCUUUAUCGAUAUUGUGGGCAGUCUGCAAGCUUGCACCAGAAGAAUGCUCUGCACUCGCUGUGGAGGCAGGUUUGGCGGCGAAGCUGCUUCUGGUAAUACAAAGUGGUUGUAAUCCUGUGCUGAAGCAGAGAUCAGCUGAGCUCUUGAAAUUGUGUAGUCUAAAUUACUCAUCUACUAUCUUCAUUUCCAAGUGUAAGCUUACUAAAACGAUACAAUGAAGAAAAAUGCCAGCUUGUUGAUUUGUGCCAUAUCUUUUUCCUGUUGUCCAGAGAGACAAUUGGGCUGGAGCUUGUGGGAUAGAAUCAGUGGUACCCCUUUUCUGUCCCUUUGUGUAUAUUAAAGAUCUUUUGAUAAAUUCCAUUGGUUUCACGUAGUGGGAGCUGAUAAUGUGGAUUUUAGGCUAAUUGCAUGUUGUGUAAUCAUUAUUUAUUAAUCCACUGUCAAUAAGGCUGGUGUUUUGCCAAAAUUUUCUACUAAUUCCCA